UGUGUGUGUGUGUGUGUGUGUGUGUAUGUAUAUAUAUAGAGAUAUAUAUAUACACACACACACACACACACACG
rnacentral:miRNA from 1 species